AAAUAUGAAUUUUUUCUUCGUGAGUGGCGACGUGGAUCAAGGCGAUUUGUGGAUUCGAAUCGUGAGUGCUCAAGGAUUCGAGUGGCGUCCGUGGAUUCGGACGUGGGGCGUGGACAAUCCGAUGAUGUGCGAGAGAUCUGUUGGAGGUAAAAGAGAGGUCGAGUUCGUGGAGUCGGUAAUCACUUUGUAAUCUUUUAUUCUUAGUAAAUUAUUUUUUCGCGUGUCGGUCCCGUAGGUUUUUCUCCAAAUUGGAGUUUUUCCAUAUAAAUCUCAGUGUGCUAUUUUAUUUUUCGCAUUUAUUUUUUAUCACAUUGAGAUUUGUGGUUUUGGCCUACACACCUAUUCACCCCCCUAUAGAUGUUUGAUAGUCUCCAGAUAGAUCAUAGGGUUCCCUAUAACCUACAAUUGGAAUCAGAGCGGGAUCUAUAUUUAUAUAUCAAUACGGGUGAAGGAGGUAACAUUAAUAGGCCCCAUCUAUUUGAUAGGACUAAUUAUGCCUAUUGGAAGGUUCG
rnacentral:lncRNA from 1 species